rnacentral:lncRNA from 10 species
AGAAAGGCCGGGCAUCCGCGCCGGGAGGGGCACCAGCCGGGGCUGCAGCGCUCGGCCUCCGGGACUCGGUGGGAGCGAGGGCUGGAGGGAAAGCGCGGCGGCCCCGGAUGACCGGGAAAGUGGGAAGGCGGCCGCGUGGGUCACAGCCACAAAGCUCCGGGGCGCUCACUCUCCUUUUUUCUCACUCCCUCGUUCCCUCGCUCUCUCCCUCUACCUCUCUGUCUCUCUCACACACACAUUCUCUCUUCUUUUAUCUCUUUCUCUCUCCCUUAAUCUCUUUCUCUCUCAUUGUCUCUCUUUCUCUCAUUCUCUCCCUCAUUCUCAUUCUCUUUCAUUCUUUCUCUCUCCUCUGUCUCAUUCUUUCAUUCUCUUUCUCUCUCUGUGCUCACCCCCAUCUCUCUCUCUUAUUCUGUCUCACACACAAAGUACCCAAGAGCGUCUCGCUCCUGGGUGUCCGGGCUCCGUCUCCCCGGCAAGUCUGCGAUGCUAAGAGGCCGUCCCCAUAGAAAUCCUGCCAGUUCCUCUUGGAAGAAAACGCAGACAGAAUCAGGGAGGAAAAGGAGACAUUUGUUGUAAUUGUACAAAUUUACGGUCAAGCCAGGACCCAAAACCCGGUGACCUGGAGAUUCACCCAUUUUCCUCCCCUCCCUUCAUCAAAGGGUAAUUGGAAAUUUAAAUAUGCAAGAAAGAAAGGGUUUAUUCCGCCUCUUUGCUCUCUGAUCUCCUUUUCUUCAGCUCUCUUACAAGUGCUUUUCUGGCCAACCCUAAGGCUCUGAGAUUACAAUCUACUUGAAUCACAGCAGGUACAAAAUCAGGGACUGAAACAGUUAUCGGUUUCAGCGUAGCAAAAAGGACAACAGGUUCGUGGAUUUUAGAUCAAAAGCUUUUUAACUGUCUUGGCAACAGAUGACUAAGGGCUUAUUUAUGGGGAAAUUUUUCUGACUAAGACAGUUUGGGUCAUAGUCAUACUGAAAAGUCACAUCAGUUACGGAUUUUGGUAAACAAAUUACUUAUUCCAAAGAUACCUAUCACACACCAUGCUCUAAGCCACAGCCUGCCAGCCAAGUAAGGGUCUGGCCAUCCCUGGGUCCCUGGAACCCACUGAGGGGUGGAAUCCCUGCCAGAGAACUUAAAGAAACUCCUUCCCAGCUGAGGAAGCUGAAUUCCAUGAACUUUAUACAUGGUGUUUCCUAUGAUUCUUCCUUCUCUCUCGUCCUUGAGUUGUGUUUCUGUUCUUAACAAUGGCUCCACCAGUCACCAAACCAAAACCUAGGAUCCAGCCUAAACUCUCUCCCUCCCCACAUUGGCAUCAACUCCAAGGUUUGUGCAGUGUGCACAAUUCCUGGCUAUCUCCCUCCCCCUCUGCUGGCACCGCCACUGUUGCCUUUGGGCUCAGUCACAAUAUGGUGGCAGGGGUUUCCUAACUGGCCCCAGCCUCUGGUCUAACACAUGCUUUUCCUCUCAACUUUCUGGGGUGCAAGUGAACUUUCCAGGUGCAAGAUGCUCAGUUUCCUCCUCUGCUUGAAACACUUUAGUGGAUGCCUGCUUCCUGCUACAUGAUCAAGUCGAAGCUCCCCAGCAAACAUCCAAGGCUCCACUCAGCCAGAGUGCCGUAUUUGCUAAGUGGCCCUGCUCUGUGAUGAAGACUGGAUGAAAUAAUGAAUAUAUGGCCUUGUCAUGCUCUUCCACGGGCUUCCCCUCUGCCUAGCAGACCUUCACCAAUCCCCAAGAGCUCCUCUCCUCUCUGAGAAUCAGUCUUCUCUGGAAACCCUUUCCUGACCUGCUCACACUAAAUGGAUCUUUUCUGCCCCUCCCAUACCCGACAUGGUAUUGGCGUUAUUGCACUGUAUCGUAAAUAUGUGCCUCUGUGAGCCCAGAGUUGAUGCUUGACAUAUAUACAUAUCUUUAUACCCUCUUGCCUAAUGUAAUAUCUGGCAUAUGGGAAGUGUUAUGGACUAAACUGUGUACCACAUACCCCUAUAAUUCAUAUGUUGAAGCCCUAACCUCCAAUGUGACUGUAUUUGGAGACAGGACCUAUAGGGAGGUAAUUAAGGUUAAACAAGGUCAUAAGGGUGGGACCCUAAGCUCAUAGGUCUGGUGGCCUUAUAUAAGGAGGCAGAGACACCAGAUCCCUCCUUCCUUCUCUCUUCCUCUCUCCCUCCCUCCUUCCCCUCUGUCCCUUUCCCCACUCUCUCUUUCUCUGCCCAAACACAGAGAAGAGGCCACAUGAAGACACAAUGAAAAGGCCGCCAACUGCAAGCCAGAAAGAGAGGCCUCACCAGAAACCAACCCUACUGCCAUCUUGAUCUUGGACUUCCAGCCUUCAGAACUGUGGGAAAAUGAAAUGUCUUGUUUAAGCCACUCAGUCUAGGGUAUUCUGUUACAGCAGCCCCAUCAGAUGAAUAGAAAAAGCAUGCACUGGAUUCGAGAUUCUAACCAAAGAUGCAUUGGAUUCAAGAUUCUAAAUCCC